GGCGCGCGAUACAGGGUGACAGCCCCGUACACAAAAGCGCAUGUGCUGUGAGCUCGAUGAGUAGGGCGGGACACGUGGUAUCCUGUCUGAAUAUGGGGGGACCAUCCUCCAAGGCUAAAUACUCCUGACUGACCGAUAGUGAACCAGUACCGUGAGGGAAAGGCGAAAAGAACCCCGGCGAGGGGAGUGAAAAAGAACCUGAAACCGUGUACGUACAAGCAGUGGGAGCACCCUUUGGGUGUGACUGCGUACCUUUUGUAUAAUGGGUCAGCGACUUAUAUUCUGUAGCAAGGUUAACCGAAUAGGGGAGCCGGAGGGAAACCGAGUCUUAACCGGGCGUUAAGUUGCAGGGUAUAGACCCGAAACCCGGUGAUCUAGCCAUGGGCAGGUUGAAGGUUGGGUAACACUAACUGGAGGACCGAACCGACUAAUGUUGAAAAAUUAGCGGAUGACCUGUGGCUGGGGGUGAAAGGCCAAUCAAACCGGGAGAUAGCUGGUUCUCCCCGAAAGCUAUUUAGGUAGCGCCUCGUGAAUUCAUCUCCGGGGGUAGAGCACUGUUUCGGCUAGGGGGCCAUCCCGGCUUACCAACCCGAUGCAAACUGCGAAUACCGGAGAAUGUUAUCACGGGAGACACACGGCGGGUGCUAACGUCCGUCGUGAAGAGGGAAACAACCCAGACCGCCAGCUAAGGUCCCAAAGUCAUGGUUAAGUGGGAAACGAUGUGGGAAGGCCCAGACAGCCAGGAUGUUGGCUUAGAAGCAGCCAUCAUUUAAAGAAAGCGUAAUAGCUCACUGGUCGAGUCGGCCUGCGCGGAAGAUGUAACGGGGCUAAACCAUG
rnacentral:rRNA from 1 species